GCUGGUUAGCUAAAGGUUGGCAUUCAGCAGCUGCAGUUAUAGUACAGGGUUGAGGAGUGGUGGUUAUAGGUGAUGCGGUAGGGGAUUUUGGAGGCUGCACUGGGUAUUGUGGAUAAAACUGUUGCAAAUAAAGAGGGUACACUGUGGGUUGCGGUUUCUGGCUUAUUGCGGGUGAAUCUGGUGGGGGAGAAGUGGGGAUGGCUGGAGCUGGUUUCAAAGUGGGAGUUGGUUUGCCAUGAUAAUCGGGGUAGUAAUAUGGCCACAUCAUAUGGGGGUGCUUUGGAAAUUGAGGGUUCUGGUUUGGUGCUUGGACAUCUGUAGAAGAUUCCUCCGCUGGCUCGGCUGUGGGAUAACCCUUGCCAGGAUAAUGGGAAUGGGAAUGGGAAUAGGGAUAUGGCCACAUCAUAUGGGGGUGCUUUGGAAAUUGAGGGUUCUGGUUUGGUGCUUGGACAUCGCUAGAAUGUUCCUCCGCCGGCCCAGCUGUGGGAUAACCCUUUCCAGUAUAAUGGGAAUAGGGAUAUGGCCACAUCAUAUGGGGGUGCUUUGGAAAUUGAGGGUUCUGGUUUGGUGCUUGGACAUCGCUAGAAUGUUCCUCCGCCGGCCCAGCUGUGGGAUAACCCUUGCCAGGAUAAUGGUAACGAGGGUAGUAGUAAGGCCAAAACUCUUGUGGAAACACUUGAGGGUACCCAUAAGGUAGAGGUUUGAGUGUUGCAGAUAGUUCUGUCAUAGUUAUUGUAGUAACUUUAUCAGAAAAAAGGGGAGGCAGCAGAAUCUGUUGAUAUGAAAGAGAAUGAGGUCCUAUGAAGGUUUCGUUUGCAGUUGUAGAGGUCAUAGGACAAGAAAUGACUGCACCGUUUCCCUGCCACUGCAUCUGCAUUACAUAACUCCCGCCCUGAAAGACAACAUGAACAAUACAGGUUGGUCUUCCUUACGCUGUGCUCAUAAUGCACUGAAU
rnacentral:lncRNA from 1 species